rnacentral:rRNA from 1 species
GACAAACGCUGGCGGCAUGCCUAACACAUGCAAGUCGAACGGACAGAACAGGGAAGCUUUUCGGAGUGGAACUGGAAAGUUAGUGGCGGAUGGGUGAGUAACGCGUGGACAACCUACCUUGUAAAGGGGAAUAACCUCGAGAAAACGAAGCUAAUACCCCAUAAUAACCUUGCUUCGCAUGAAGUAAGGAGGAAAGGCGGCCUUAGCGCUGUCGAUACAAGAUGGGUCCGCGUCUGAUUAGCUAGUUGGUGAGGUAAAGGCUCACCAAGGCGACGAUCAGUAGCCGGCGUGUGGGGGUGAACGGCGACAGUGAGACUGAGAGACGGCCCAAACUCCUACGGGAGGCAGCAGUGGGGAAUCUUGCGCAAUGGGCGAAAGACUGACGGAGCAAUGGCGCGUGAGUGAAGAAGGCCUUCGUGUUGUAAAACUCUGUCCUUAUCGAAGAGAGAGUGUUGUAGUAACUGACAAUACUAGGACGGUAGAUGAGGAGGAAGCCCCGGCUAACUAUGUG